ACACGGCCGACGUGGGCCAAAGUGUAGCAUCUGUUCUCAUCCGCUCAAAGUUUCAUAAGGGUUCUAUUUGCACCCAAAAUAUUAAACUUAAUUUUUGCAAGUUAGCGAAGUGCUUGAAGCCUGCUUCCCCUCCGCCGCGGGUCGGCCCGGUUUUACACUAUCGUCGGGGUCGGCCUACGAUUU